rnacentral:rRNA from 1 species
GGGGAACGAUAACGGCGUCGAGCGGCGGACGGGUGAGUAAUGCCUAGGAAAUUGCCCUGAUGUGGGGGAUAACCAUUGGAAACGAUGGCUAAUACCGCAUGAUGCCUACGGGCCAAAGAGGGGGACCUUCGGGCCUCUCGCGUCAGGAUAUGCCUAGGUGGGAUUAGCUAGUUGGUGAGGUAAGGGCUCACCAAGGCGACGAUCCCUAGCUGGUCUGAGAGGAUGAUCAGCCACACUGGAACUGAGACACGGUCCAGACUCCUACGGGAGGCAGCAGUGGGGAAUAUUGCACAAUGGGCGCAAGCCUGAUGCAGCCAUGCCGCGUGUAUGAAGAAGGCCUUCGGGUUGUAAAGUACUUUCAGUCGUGAGGAAGGCGUCGUCGUUAAUAGCGGCGUUGUUUGACGUUAGCGACAGAAGAAGCACCGGCUAACUCCGUGCCAGCAGCCGCGGUAAUACGGAGGGUGCGAGCGUUAAUCGGAAUUACUGGGCGUAAAGCGCAUGCAGGUGGUUUGUUAAGUCAGAUGUGAAAGCCCGGGGCUCAACCUCGGAAUAGCAUUUGAAACUGGCAGACUAGAGUACUGUAGAGGGGGGUAGAAUUU